AACGAACGCUGGCGGCAUGCCUAACACAUGCAAGUCGAACGAGACCUUCGGGUCUAGUGGCGCACGGGUGCGUAACGCGUGGGAACCUGCCCUUAGGUUCGGAAUAACUCCCCGAAAGGGGGUGCUAAUACCGGAUAAUGUCUUCGAACCAAAGAUUUAUCGCCUUUGGAUGGGCCCGCGUUGGAUUAGCUAGUUGGUAGGGUAAAAGCCUACCAAGGCGACGAUCCAUAGCUGGUCUGAGAGGAUGAUCAGCCACACUGGGACUGAGACACGGCCCAGACUCCUACGGGAGGCAGCAGUGGGGAAUAUUGGACAAUGGGCGAAAGCCUGAUCCAGCAAUGCCGCGUGAGUGAUGAAGGCCUUAGGGUUGUAAAGCUCUUUUACCCGGGAUGAUAAUGACAGUACCGGGAGAAUAAGCUCCGGCUAACUCCGUG
rnacentral:rRNA from 1 species